AUAAAUUCUAAAAUUCUUCCCAGUAUUGCAGUUUAACAAUUAGUUUCAAAGAAACUGAUCUAGAAGGAACAUGAUUUUACAAAUGCAUUUGCUCUGGCUGCUGUUCUCUGUGUUUGGAGAAUCCAGUGGGCAGAUUGUUAUCACUCAGACACUUGCUUCUGUGAUGGUGCUUCCAGGAGAGACGGUCACCAUUCAGUGCAAGGUGUCCAGCUCCAUGAGUAAUGAUAUGAGUUUAUACCAGUUUAAAUCGCGACAAAAUCCCAAGCUCCUCAUUUAUGAUGUAACCAACCGGCAAACUGGAGUCCCCGAUCGGUUCAGUGGUAGAUACAGCAGCACUGACUUCACAUUCACCAUUACUGGGGUGCAUGUGGAAGAUGCAAGAGAAUACUAUUGUGGAUAAGACUACAGCUUUCC